CUAUGUCAGAGUAAGCAAGGUGGUUGAAGA
rnacentral:piRNA from 1 species